UACAGAGGGGGCAAGCGUUAUUCGGAAUUAUUGGGCGUAAAGGGCGCGUAGGCGGUUCUUCAAGUCUCUCGUGAAAUCCCUCGGCUUAACUGAGGACGUGCGGGAGAUACUGAAGGGCUUGAGUCCGGAAGAGGGUGGUGGAAUUCCCAGUGUAGCGGUGAAAUGCGUAGAUAUUGGGAGGAACACCGGUGGCGAAGGCGGAUCUCUGGGCCGUAACUGACGCUGAGGAGCGAAAGCAUGGGGAGCGAACAGG
rnacentral:rRNA from 1 species